rnacentral:rRNA from 1 species
GACAGAGGGUGCAAACGUUGCUCGGAAUUACUGGGCGUAAAGCGCGUGUAGGCGGACCUGCAAGUCGGACGUGAAAGCCCUGGGCUCAACCCAGGAACUGCAUCCGAAACUGCGGGCCUGGAGUGGUGGAGAGGGAAGCAGAAUUCCUGGUGUAGAGGUGAAAUUCGUAGAUAUCAGGAGGAACACCGGUGGCGAAGGCGGCUUCCUGGACACUUACUGACGCUGAGGUGCGAAAGCGUGGGGAGCAAACAGG